UACAGAGGGUGCGAGCGUUCAUCGGAAUUCCUGGGCGUAGAGCGUGCGUAGACGGUCGCGUAAGUCAGAUGUGAAAGCCCCGGGCUCAACCUGGGAACUGCAUUUGAGACUGCUCUGCUCGGGUGCGGAAGAGGGAAGCGGAAUUUCCGGUGUAGCGGUGAAAUGCGUAGAUAUCGGAAGGAACACCAGUGGCGAAAGCGGCUUCCUGGUCCGACACCGACGUUCAGGCACGAAAGCGUGGGGAGCAAACAGG
rnacentral:rRNA from 1 species